GAGCAUGUUCAAAUAUAUGCCAGUAGAAGACAAAAUAAGACAUUAAGUGCAGGAAAUAAAGCUAAAGAAGAGAAAAUUGCGAGGAAGCCUACAAAAGACAAGACAGUAAGAAAAAAUAAAAAAAAAUAAGUAGUUCUAAGCAAGCACUGUUUUAAGUAAAAGACAGUUAUAAUAAAAAAAAAUCUUUAAUUGCAUUUGUUAUUUCAUGAGCACCUUAAAAAACUAUGCGAUGGUAACUAACACCACCAACCUUAAAAAAUAAAAGAAAGUUUGUAUUAGAAAUCCAGUCCCUGAUGCUCUUAAUCUGUGUGGUAAGCAGUAGUACUAUUUUUUAAUAUUUCUCCAAUAAUAUAAACUUUUUUUAAAAACCGACUAAACUGGACCAAAUUGAAAUGGUCAGGGUUAAACACGGGAAGCACCAGCUUUCA